CCUACGGGAGGCAGCAGUGGGGAAUAUUGCACAAUGGGGGGAACCCUGAUGCAGCGACGCCGCGUGAGUGAAGAAGUAUUUCGGUAUGUAAAGCUCUAUCAGCAGGGAAGAAAAUGACGGUACCUGACUAAGAAGCCCCGGCUAACUACGUGCCAGCAGCCGCGGUAAUACGUAGGGGGCAAGCGUUAUCCGGAUUUACUGGGUGUAAAGGGAGCGUAGACGGCAGAGCAAGUCUGAAGUGAAAGCCCGCGGCCCAACUGCGGGACUGCUUUGGAAACUGCCCGGCUAGAGUGCUGGAGAGGUAAGCGGAAUUCCUAGUGUAGCGGUGAAAUGCGUAGAUAUCACGCAGAACCCCGAUUGCGAAGGCAGCAUGCCGGCUUCCGACUGACGCUGAAGCACGAAAGCGUGGGGAUCGAACAGGAUUAGAUACCCUAGUAGUC
rnacentral:rRNA from 1 species